CUUCCAAAUCAUCUGCAGCUGAUGCCAAUUAGCGGCAGCGUGGCUUAUCUGCUGUUGUAUGAGCUGUAGAGCAGAAUCAGUCAGGAUCAUGUAAUGACACAGAGAUCACAGACGAGACGAUGGAAUAGAAAGAAUAAAUCAUAUGAUGAUCAGGACACAGAGAAGAAACACAGUCACUGAACCAAACACCACAAUCAGCAUGAAGAACACAGCAGGAGACACAGAACCUGGAGAAAACAUUAAAGAAAGACUUUUACUCAGUAAACAUGCAUCAGAUUUUAGUAUAAAAUGUAAGAAGAGAGAGAGAA